rnacentral:rRNA from 1 species
GAUUUCUGGCAUGACGUGCCUGGCCCGACACGGUUACGUGUUCGUGUGCUGGGUCGCGUUUGCCAUCCUUCCAGAGAACUUAUCUGCUCUUCAUUGAGUGGGUAAGCCAUCUGGAUCUUUUACUUUGAAAAAAUUAGAGUGUUUCAAGCAGGCAUGUUUUGCUAUGAAUACAUUAGCAUGGAAUAAUAAUCUAGGACUUUCGGUUCUAUUUUGUUGGUGUUCUGGAGCUGAAGUAAUGAUUGAUAGGGAUAGUUGGGGGUGCUAGUAUUCAAUGGCCAGAGGUGAAAUUCUCGGAUUCCUUGAAGACUAACUUAUGCGAAAGCAUU